UCAAGGAAAUAAGAGCAUAGGGUGGAUGCCCAGGCACCGGGAGCCGAAGAAGGACGUGGUAAGCUGCGAAAAGCCAUGUGGAGCCGCAAACAGGCGAAGAGGCAUGGAUAUCCGAAUGGGGGAACCCGCCACGGGUAAUGCCGUGGCAUCGCAUGGUGAACACAUAGCCAUGACGAAGGGAGACCAGGGGAACUGAACCAUCUAAGUACCCUGAGGAAGAGAAAGAAACAUCGAUUUCCUAAGUAGCGGCGAGCGAAAGGGAAAGAGCCCAAACCGGGUAAAUAGAGAUAUUUGCUCGGGGUUGAGGACCGGCAGAAGAGUUAAGCAGAUAUAGCCGAAGAUGGAAGGGAAGCCACACCACAGAAGGUGACAGUCCUGUAGGCGAAAUAUCGAGAUAACCAGCCGGUAUCCAGAGUACCACGGGACACGAAGAAUCCCGUGGGAAGCAGGGAGGACCACCUCCCAAGGCUAAACACUACCCGGUGACCGAUAGCGGACAGUACCGUGAGGGAACGGUGAAAAGAACCCCGGGAGGGGAGUGAAAGAGAACCUGAAACCCUAUGUUUACAAGCAGUGGAAGAGGUAGAAACACCUCGACCGCGUACUUUUUGUAGAACGGACCGGCGAGUUGCUAAGUGAUGCGAGGUUAAGGGCCGAAAGAGGUCUGGAGCCGUAGGGAAACCGAGUCUUAACAGGGCGGCAAGUAUCACUAAGCAGACCCGAAACCAAGUGACCUAUCCAUGGACAGGGUGAAACGCGAGUAAGAUCGCGCGGAGGCCCGAACCACGUUGUCGUUGAAAAGGCAUGGGAUGAGCUGUGGAUAGCGGAGAAAUUCCAAUCGAACUUGGAGAUAGCUGGUUCUCCCCGAAAUAGCUUUAGGGCUAGCCUUGGCCGAUGGGCCAUGGAGGUAGAGCACUGAAUGGGCUAGGGGCCUAACGGUUACCGAACCCUAUCAAACUCCGAAUGCCAUGGUACUAAGAGGUCAGGAGUCAGACUGCGAGUGCUAAGAUCCGUAGUCGAGAGGGAAACAGCCCAGACCAACCGCUAAGGUCCCCAAAUCCAGAUUAAGUGUAAAAGGAUGUGUAAUUACUCAGACAACCAGGAUGUUGGCUUAGAAGCAGCCACACAUUAAAAGAGUGCGUAACAGCUCACUGGUCAAGUGAAUAUGCGCCGAAAAUGUCCGGGGCUAAAUCUGGUACCGAAGCGAUGGCAGCGCGAAUAGCGCUGGGUAGGGGAGCGAUGUAUGCAGGGAGGAAGCAUAAACCGUAAGGUAAUGUGGACCGCAUACAAGAGAGAAUGCCGGUAUAAGUAGCGAAAGGGUGGUGAGAAUCCACCCCGUCGAAAGCCUAAGGUUUCCUGAGCAAGGCUCGUCCGCUCAGGGUAAGUCGGGACCUAAGCCGAGGCCGAAAGGCGUAGGCGAUGGACAACGGGUUAAGAAUCCCGUACCCCCAAUAGCCGAUAAAAGAGAAGCAGGGACACAGGAGGAUAACAGCAGCGCGCUGAUGGUAGAGCGCGUCCAAAUGCAAAGCCUAGGCAGGCAGGCAAGACCACCUGCCGGUGGUGAAGCAUGAUGGGGAUCGAAAUAAAGUAGAGAAGGCUGCGAAUCCACACUGGCGAGAAAAGCUGCUAUCGAGGCUGGCGGGGCCCGUACCGCAAACCGACACAGGUAGGCGAGGAGAGAAUCCAAAGACGCGCGGGAAAACCCUCGUUAAGGAACUCGGCAAACUGACCCCGUAACCUAGGGAGAAGGGGUACCACGAGAGUGGUCGCAGAGAAAUGGCCCAAGCGACUGUUUAGCAAAAACACAGGUCUCUGCCAAAUCGGAAGAUGAGGUAUAGGGGCUGACGCCUGCCCAAUGCCGGAAGGUUAAGGGGAAACGUCAGCGCGUAAGCGCGAAGCGUAGAACCGAAGCCCCGGUGAAUGGCGGCCGUAACUAUAACGGUCCUAAGGUAGCGAAAUUCCUUGUCGGGCAAGUUCCGACCCGCACGAAAGGCGUAACGACUUGGGCGCUGUCUCAACGAGGGGCCCGGUGAAAUUGAAUUACCAGUGAAGAUGCUGGUUACCUGCGACUGGACAGAAAGACCCCGUAGAGCUUUACUGCAACCUGACAUUGGACUUUGGCACAUGAUGUACAGGAUAGGUGGGAGGCGACGAAGCAUAGGCGCCAGCCUAUGUGGAGCCGACCUUGGGAUACCACCCUUCAUGUACCGAGGUUCUAACCAAUUACCGUAAACCGGAAUUGGGACACUGUCAGGCGGGCAGUUUGACUGGGGCGGUCGCCUCCAAAAAGGUAACGGAGGCGUCCAAAGGUUCCCUCAGGAUGGUUGGGAAUCAUCCAAAGAGUGCAAAGGCAGAAGGGAGCUUAACUGCGAGAGAGACAACUCGAGCAGGGACGAAAGUCGGGCUUAGUGAUCCGGCGGCAUUGCGUGGGCAAGCCGUCGCUCAACGGAUAAAAGCUACCUCGGGGAUAACAGGCUGAUCUCCCCCGAUAGUCCACAUAGACGGGGAGGUUUGGCACCUCGAUGUCGGCUCGUCGCAUCCUGGGGCAGAAGUAUGUUCCAAGGGUUGGGCUGUUCGCCCAUUAAAGCGGCACGCGAGCUGGGUUCAGAACGUCGUGAGACAGUUCGGUCCCUAUCCAUCGCAGGCGCAGGAUAUUUGAGAGGAGCUGUUCCUAGUACGAGAGGACCGGAACGGACAGACCGCUGGUGUAUCAGUUGUACCGCCAGGUGCACCGCUGAGUAGCCAAGUCUGGAGAGGAUAAACGCUGAAAGCAUCUAAGCGUGAAGCCCACCUCAAGAUAAGAUAUCCCAUAGCGAGAGCUAGUAAGACUCCAGAGAGACUAACUGGUAGAUAGGUCAGAGGUGUAAGCGCAGCAAUGCGUUGAGCUGACUGAUACUAAUAAGUCGAGGACUUGAUCCU
rnacentral:rRNA from 1 species